rnacentral:rRNA from 1 species
UAAUACGGAGGAGGCAAGCGUUAUCCGGAAUUAUUGGGCGUAAAGCGUCCGUAGGUGGUUUAGUAAGUCUGCUGUUAAAGCGCGGGGCUUAACUCCGUAUCGGCAGUGGAAACUACUAGACUAGAGUGUGGUAGGGGUAGAGGGAAUUCCCAGUGUAGCGGUGAAAUGCGUAGAUAUUGGGAAGAACACCGGUGGCGAAGGCGCUCUACUGGGCCAUAACUGACACUGAUGGACGAAAGCUAGGGGAGCGAAAGGGAUUAGAUACCCCUGUAGUCCUAGCCGUAAACGAUGGAGACUAGGUGUUGGCCGUAUCGACCCGGUCAGUGCCGUAGCUAACGCGUUAAGUUUCCCGCCUGGGGAGUACGCUCGCAAGAGUG